AGCGAACGCUAGCGCGGGCUUAACACAUGCAAGUCGAGCGGAGAGCUUCGGCUCUCAGCGGCGAACGGGUGAGUAACACGUAGGUCACGUACCCUUUGAUGGGGAAUAACCUAGGGAAACCUGGGCUAAUACCGCAUAUGUCCUUCGGGAUGAAAGCCUUCGGGCGUCAGAGGAUCGGCCUGCGGCCCAUUAUUUAAUCCUAGUUGGUAGGGUAAUGGCCUACCAAGGGUACGAUGGGUAGCUGGUCUGAGAGGAUGAUCAGCCACACUGGAACUGAGACACGGUUCAGACUCCUACGGGAGGCAGCAGUGGGGAAUAUUGGACAAUGGGCGAAAGCCUGAUCCAGCCACGCCGCGUGGGUGAUGAAGGCCUUCGGGUUGUAAAGCCCUGUCGGGAGGGACGAAUCAAUGACGGUACCUCCCAAGAAAGCACCGGCUAACUCCGUG
rnacentral:rRNA from 1 species